AGCACUAACAACCUCAAAAUAUUAAUAGUGGUGAUCCAUCAAUAAAGUAAUAAGUACAAUUCUCUAAACUGAGUCAAAAUAAUCAAAACUUAAAAUUUGAAUCAACCUAACUGGUCAAAGGCAAAACUCUCAUCACACUAGCUCUGAAUCACCCCUGCAAACCUGCCGGAAGAAAAACACAGCAUGAGCCAAUUGCCCAGUACGGAUACAGAUAUACAAAAGAUAUACAACUGAUAUACGAAAACAGUUGAGACAAAUUAUUGAACAAGCCUCAAGUGCAAGUACGAACGAAAAUAUAAUAUUCAAGGAUCUGAAUGGAAUAUCUAUGAAUCAACAUAAUUGCCGAAACCAAUAAAAGAAUAAAGAAAUAGCGAACUGAAGUAACUAACUCAAUGACUUGAACUGAACAAAAACCAACAAAACUAAUCCAAUAAAAUAAUAGGCUGAAACAAAUGGCUGGAGUUAUUUUAUACCGAAUGAGCUCAGAAAUACACAUUGCCACACAGGCAAGUCAAAAUAAUGCCACACAGGCAAGUCAAAUGAUGCCACACAGGCAACCAAAAUAAUGCCACACAGGCAAAUCACACAUUGGACCGCGAAUCCAAAUGUAUGCAAAUCGGAUAGGUGUGUUUGGCACAACAUCACAAAUCCGCAGAACAGAAAACUAGGGUUAACCCAUACGCCUCCCACAACAAAACACCAAAUGGCCCACUUCCUCCGGAGCCCAAAACGGAGACGCCGUGGACUAAUCACACCGCCACGGAAAGUGUCAUGCCUCUCGUGCCAAGACGACAUGCCUGUGGUACCCCCACAGGUGGUUAUAGCUCAGGUAUACCCUACGGUAUAUUCUAACAAAAAUACCAUGUCACAACACAUGCGACAUAAUACCAACAAAAGGGUUCUAUAUGUACAUGUUGAACCAAAUCAAAUUAUAGUCACAAGGUCUCAAAAAGAAGGUAGCAACAUGUACCGCUCUACAAUUAUCAAAAAUAAAUAGUACUAAACAUGAUAACCUAAUUCAAAGAGUACAAAUACGAGUCAUAUGUAUCAACUCCAAAAUGAAACUAAUAUAUUUAUUUCACAGGAAACAAUUAUGUGAAAUAAUAACGAAAUUCGAACAAGCGACAAAACGAACAAAUCAAAUUUAACAAGAGUAUCGCAGAAAGAGUACGAAAUCCGUACCUGAUACUUCCAAACCAUUUAUGGCACACUCCACAAAAUCUUACCCUCAAAUGCCAACGAUAUCAAAUACAAAUCGUUAUUCGCAACCUAAACAUAUUCACCUCAAAUUAAAAACAAUCCAAACUAAUAAUUCCAAAGUAAUUCAUAAUCUAUUUAAUAUGCCUUUAAUCAUCGCCUUUUCGUUCGAACUAACUAAACAAAAUAAUAAUAAAUAUAAGUACACUUAUAAAAAUAUUCUUUCAUCUUUAACCCAUUGAUAAAUUCAUUUUAUUAUUAUUAUAAUAAUAAUCUCUAUAAUUUCAAAAUAUUUUAUUUAUUCAUUUAGAUUUUGUAUAACAUAAUAUUUUGCAAUACUAUAUACGUAAUUAUUAAUUUUUUUUAUUUUUUUAACAAUAAACAUGAAAAUUCGUACUAUUAAGAACAUGUGAUCAGGAGACUACAAAUUAAUAUAUAUGUAUCCAUAUAAUAGGCAUGCACCUAUUGUGCACUCCUGUAAUUUCCAAAAGAAGUCUAAAUAUCCAUAAGUCUAAUAAAACAAUUACUAUUCAUGACAUAUUUUAUUCGUAAGGCGUUUUUUUUUUGUUUAAAGGCACACUGAUGCCAUUCAUUUCACAUACUACCCAGAUGCAAUCAAAUUAUUAUUAUUAUUAUUAUUAUUACACUCCAUAUAUUUUCUUUUUAAUACCAUUGUACUAACUAUGUACUUAUAUUUAUUCUACCUCUGUUUCACAAGAAAUACUCAUAAACUGAUAUCCUGAAGCAAAUUCUAAUUAAUUACAAACUUAAUCAUAAUUCCCAACUCCGUUCUAAUAUAUAAAAAAAAAAAUUCUAACAUGAUACCACAAUAUAAUAUAUAGAACAAUACUUUGAAAUUUAACUCCAUGUUCCAAACAAGCUAAUCUAAUUUAUACUUUAUUUAUUUGCUAGUUUUAAUUGAGAUUCCCUCCAGACAUGACUUAUAACAAUAAACAAUCAAAUUAAUUAAGCUUGCAAGAUCCGAUCAUAAAAUAACUAAAAAAGAAUACCCAAUAAUAAAAAUAAUGGUAUUACCUUGGUUGGGAGAAUUUUUCUCUUUCUAUUUUCUGUACUCCUAGCCGCCUUUCUCUUCA
rnacentral:lncRNA from 1 species